rnacentral:rRNA from 1 species
GGCGGCGUGCCUAAUACAUGCAAGUCGAGCGAAUCUGAGGGAGCUUGCUCCCAAAGAUUAGCGGCGGACGGGUGAGUAACACGUGGGCAACCUGCCUGUAAGACUGGGAUAACUUCGGGAAACCGGAGCUAAUACCGGAUAAUUCUUACCAACACAUGUUGGUAAGCUAAAAGACGGCGCAAGCUGUCACUUACAGAUGGGCCCGCGGCGCAUUAGCUAGUUGGUAAGGUAAUGGCUUACCAAGGCAACGAUGCGUAGCCGACCUGAGAGGGUGAUCGGCCACACUGGGACUGAGACACGGCCCAGACUCCUACGGGAGGCAGCAGUAGGGAAUCUUCCGCAAUGGACGAAAGUCUGACGGAGCAACGCCGCGUGAGUGAUGAAGGUUUUCGGAUCGUAAAACUCUGUUGUUAGGGAAGAACAAGUACGAGAGUAACUGCUCGUACCUUGACGGUACCUAACCAGAAAGCCACGGCUAACUACGUGCCAGCCGCCGC